UACAGAGGGUGCAAGCGUUAAUCGGAAUUACUGGGCGUAAAGCGUGCGUAGACGGUUAUGUAAGUCGGGUGUGAAAGCCCCGGGCUCAACCUGGGAAUUGCAUUCGAGACUGUGUAGCUAGGGUACGGAAGAGGGAAGCGGAAUUUCAGGUGUAGCAGUGAAAUGCGUAGAUAUCUGGAGGAACACCGGUGGCGAAGGCGGCAUCCUGGACCAACACUGACGCUGAGUGAGCGAAAGCCAGGGGAGCAAACGGG
rnacentral:rRNA from 1 species